rnacentral:rRNA from 1 species
UACAGGGGGGGCAAGCGUUGUUCGGAAUUACUGGGCGUAAAGGGCUCGUAGGUGGCCAACUAAGUCAGACGUGAAAUCCCUCAGCUUAACUGGGGAACUGCGUCUGAUACUGGAUGGCUUGAGUUUGGGAGAGGGAUGCGGAAUUCCAGGUGUAGCGGUGAAAUGCGUAGAUAUCGGGAGGAACACCGGUGGCGAAGGCGGCGAUCUGGGUCGAUACUGACGCUGAGGUGCGAAAGCGUGGGGAGCGAACAGG